rnacentral:misc_RNA from 1 species
AAAAUUGGAGUCGCAAAAAAUAUUGCUGCAAUGGCCAUAUGAACUACAUAAACUAACAGUACAUAUUUUCCUGCAAAACCCCCCAUGGGGGUUCAUUCUGGCCAACAAAAGCUUGAUAUCUUUAUUCUCAUCACAGAAAGAAAUGGGCUAAGUAAAAGAAAAAUAUUUGGUAGAAAAAUUGAUUAAUGAGAACCAAUCUAACGAUCGCUACUUAAAAAGGCUUUGACAAAAUUUAGGCUUCAUCUUCUCUUUGGCCACCGGGGGUUCCAGCAAGCCAACCCCACAUGCCACCAGAGGCCUGCCCAUGUUUUGCAUUUAAGGCGGCUUGUUCGGAAGCUGCCUUUUGCCGCUGAAGGAGUUCUAGUUCUUUUUGUAAUGUCUCCAUUGUUUGAAGCUUUUGUCUUUGUUCUGCCACAUCAACCUCUAAUUUGAAACAUCUGAAACAUCUAGACUGCUCAGCUGCAGGCUGACCACGCACAGAUUGGAGUUCCUUGUAAAGAUCAGUGUUACGAUUCUCAGCUUCAACUAAUUCUUGCUUUAAUUGGACAGUUUGCAAUUUCUCCUUGCUAAGAGAGGAUUCCAGU